CAGCCGCCGCGGGAAUACAGAGGAUGCAAGCGUUAUCCGGAAUGAUUGGGCGUAAAGCGUCUGUAGGUGGCUUUUCAAGUCUGCCGUCAAAUCCCAGGGCUCAACCCUGGACAGGCGGUGGAAGCUACCAAGCUGGAGUACGGUAGGGGCAGAGGGAAUUCCACGUGUAGCGGUGAAAUGCGUAGAGAUGUGGAGGAACACCAGUGGCGAAGGCGACUCUCUGGUCUGUAACUGACGCUGAGGAGCGAAAGCGUGGGGAGCGAACAGGAUUAGAUACCCCCGUAGUCCCUGUCUCUUAUAC
rnacentral:rRNA from 1 species